rnacentral:lncRNA from 1 species
CAGAUAUAAGGCCUGUAGGUCACCUGACCUGAGCCCUUCUUCUUCUUGUCUCAUCGUGCUCACUUUCGGAUCGUCUCGCUGCUGCUCCCGACUGCACGCAAGGCUUCGGUAUUAGUUGUCACCCAGUGCCAAGACAACCGCCUUUACCCAGGCAGGACAGGAAAAGAAAAGAAGAGAAAAGAAGAGAAAAGAAGAGAAAAGAAGAGAAGAGAAAGGAAGAGAAAGGAAGAGAAAGGAAGAGAAAGGAAGAGAAAAGAAAAGAAAAGAAAAGAAAAAAGAAAAGAAAAGAAAAGAAAAGAAAAGAAAAGAAAAGAAAAGAAAAGAAAAGAAAAGAAAAGAAAAGAAAAGAAAAGAAAAGAAAAGAAAAGAAAAGAAAAGAAAAGAAAAGAAAAGAAAAGAAAAGAAAAGAAAAGAAAAGAAAAGAAAAGAAAAGAAAAGAAAAGAAAAGAAAAGAAAAGAAAAGAAAAGAAAAGAAAAGAAAAGAAAAGACCAUUAUUACAGCUUGUUGUUCUCAUUUGCCUCCUUGUCAAUUACUCUGCGUAUUAUCCUUUCCCCAGCAUAUGUAAACCACCAGCAGGAACCUUUCCAUCCACAUCCAGAGGUGAAAGUAGGCAGCAAAUGCCUUGUAGUAAUUACACCUUUGGACCCUCUGUUCCCUCUGUCCUCCUGGGAAGACUGACCAGCAUAUAUUCAUUUCCUUUUCUGCUGAAAAACUGCUGAACACUAGUCACAACAAAAAAAAAAAAAAAGAAGAUAUGAUUUCUUUAGCAGUCAGAGACCAAGGAGAAAUGGAGCAGGAAACACGACUGCUAUUUUCACGUUUCUGCAUUUAAUCCAUAUAUCAGGAUUAAAAUUUUCUAUUUUCAAGAUUCCUGUUAGGUUUUUGUUCUUGUUUUUGGUUUUUUUUUCCUUAAUAAAGAUCACAGUAUUUUAUGUGAAGCAGACAUUAAUCAUAAGCAAAAUAUUUAUUCAUGAAGAAACACAUAUCUAAUUAAAGAUUUUUUGUCAGCUCCCAGAAUAUGCCAAAGUUCAUAUCUACUGCUUCAACAGACCUCAUCACAUGGCAGGGAACUUAAAAAAGAAAUACUCCUACAUGAAAUUUCACUGUGAAAAAGAAAAGAACAGUGCAGUUUCCUUUAAAAAUCAUUUUCUAUCCUCAGAAUCUGAAACCAUUUCUGCACAUCAUUCAAUCCCAACAUUCAAUCCCAGCAGGAUUUCCAAAUGGCUAUCCAGUCAGAUCUUGAGUUACCUCAUACCCAGGUAUACAGCAGUAUCACGUCUGUGCACACACUGCCAUUCCCAGUUCCCCCAUCAAGCCUCACUGAUCGUUUGUGCUUCUCAGCUGUCUAGGUAUCUGCUCUGCUGACUCCGUAGGCAAGCCAUCUGUAGAGUAAAAUGCCAGCAGAUAUGCUUGGCCUGCUCCUGCAGAACCUCUCUCUUCUCCACUGUGCAUAUUGAACCCCCACAUGGGCUCUUUGUAGCUACCCUCUGCAAAGAUAUUCAUGAAACAUACUGGGAAACCACUGAUCAAUUCUCAUUAUCUGGAAAUAUACUAGUAUUCAACAAAGACUUUAUUCUACUGUUUUCACUUUGUCCUCAUCUAAUAUCUUCCUCUAUAAUCAGUUCACUUUGAAGGGAGAUAUUUUGAAUGUUACCUUUAGACCCUUUCAGGACAGAUACAGUCAUGUUUUACUGUGUGGUAUAGUCCUUCCCAAGGCCUCACAUUCUGUUCAUGGCCUGUACAUGUUGACAAGGAAUUGUUCUAUGGAGAGUUUUCAUGUAGGCAACUCACCUACAUAACAAAGCUCAUCAUAUGUCAGGUUACAAAAUGAAAAUCUUUUCUAAAUUAUUGUGAAAGAUAUUAAUUUAGAGGUGUUUAAAAAUGUGUUUUGCCUGACACCAAAAUUGUUUUCCGUGUUGUGUUCAAAAAUAUCUAAUUCCUUAUGAUCUGGAAGUUCUAACCAGAAAAAAAGAUUUCCUCAUAAGACUUGUAAUUUUUAAUAAAUGUUUCCAAUUUCUCAUGCAAACACAUGGAGUAAAUAACAAUUAAUAUGAAUUUAGACAAAAACAUGGGGGAAAAACUGAAGGAUAUUAUUCACGUAAUUGAAUCACUUUUUCCAUAAUGUUCUCUAAUGUUUUUCAAAAAGGAAUGUCCUUCUUUUUCCUUUCUUUUCUUUUUCUGUGAUUCCUGGUGGUAGAAAGCUAAAAGGAGUAUGAUACUGAAAAUCUCAUUCCUGCAUAUUUACCAUUUUAUGACUGAAAAUGUUAACAACACUUGGUAUGCAUGAACCUGAGAACCUACUUCAUGAAUUUUUUCAUUUUUUUCUAUAUGUCAGGCACUCCACCCAGUUGUAACUCUAUGUUGAAAAUGAUGACCAAGAUCUAAAUUUUGGGGAACAUGCUCUCUGUUCAAACCUGAUGUAAGAAAUUCAAAGAAUUUCAAAACCAUAUUUCAGAAGAAUUUAUGUUUCUACAAGCAGUGGUAAUAAUAGUGAAUAGUUAUUAAUUAUAACAAUAAUUCUGAAUGCAUUGUAAAUAGUGUGUGGUUGGCCUUCACAACAGCUCUGUAAUGAUGUGUACAUGGCAGUGAUAGAAAGAACUAUGGUGAGGAGCGUUAUAUAUAAACACUGUAGGAAAUACUAUAUUAUAUUAUAUUAUAUUAUAUUAUAUUAUAUUAUAUUAUAUUAUAUUAUAUUAUAUUGUAUUGUAUUGUAUUGUAUCAUAUUAUUAUAUUUAUAUACUGCAAGAGAAUAAAUGUACAGAAAGACAAUUUCAUCUAACCAUAGCCUCAGUGCCACCUGAGAUGUCUGAAUCCAACAUCUGCUUCACACACAACCCCUUUGCCAGUGGGCCACUAGUCAAUAAAGUCCCCUGUAUGCCUACAUCUCUGCUGCAAUAACCUACUUCAGUUUCUGCAGCACUAAGCAGCUAAGCACCAGGUAUCACAUAAAAGCUCCUCAAACCACAUGUCCUCCUCUAAUCUUGACUCUGUUGUCUGACCCAUGCCAACAACUGGGCCUCAUCCUAACAAAGGCAUGGAGUCAUAAAAUAUAUGGGUCAUAAAGGGAGGAUCCUCCAGGGAGAUCUGUUGCUAUCUGCAGAAACCCCUGGAGUGGUAAGUCUGGGCUGGUGUGUCAUUCAUGUACCCUCAAGGACAGUACAAUGUGCUUCAAGAAGGCCAGAAAUAACAUCCAUAUGAAUAUUCCCAGAGGUUAGUGUCUCCAAAAGUUAACACUCAAAGGUAAAGCCUUCUUCCCUAGAGGAGAAAAGAUGCUCAUACACAGACACUGAAUCUUUCUACUCUAAUUUAUUUUCAUUAUAAACCUCAUCUGAAGACUGAUUUUUUUCAAAGAAACAUCAGAAAAUGUCAUCUUGAAAAUCUGAUUUUUCAAGAUGACAAAGCUGUCUUCUGGUAGGAAUUGUUUUCUGUGUUUUAAAACCAUAUCUAUGAGUAGGAAUUUGCAUCAUGAAAAUAAAAAUCUGUUUUGCCAAUUGUAAUAAUGCCU